CUCCUACGGGAGGCAGCAGUAAGGAAUAUUGGUCAAUGGGCGCAAGCCUGAACCAGCCAUGCCGCGUGCAGGAAGACGGCCCUACGGGUUGUAAACUGCUUUUGCUAGGGGAAUAAAUCUCCCGACGUGUCGGGGGUUGAAGUGUACUCUGACGAAUAAGGAUCGGCUAACUCCGUGCCAGGCAGCCGCGGUAAUAC
rnacentral:rRNA from 1 species